UUGCCUUCUGCCAUGAUUGUGAGGUCUCUCAAGCCAUGUGGAACUGGUCUCACUCUGUUGCCCAGGCUGGAGGGCAGUGGCUAUUCACCGGUAUGAGUAUAGCAUAUUACAGCCUCAGACUCCAGGGACUUGAGCAGAUCCUCUUGCCUCAGCCUCCUGAGUAUCUGGGAGUACAGUGUUGCAGCCCAGUGACUUCUCUUCAACAAUCCCACCUGAAUCACACACAUCAGAACCAGCAGGGACCUAAAAGACCAUUUGCUCCUGUGCUGCUCAAAUUAUGCCCAGUUGUCACCAGCACCAGAAUCAGCUGUGCUUGUUAAAAUGCAUAUUCCAGGGCCCUGACUCAGAAGCCAUUGGGUGCGUCAGAAAUCUACAUUUUAAAUGGGCACACCCCCUCCUCCAGUAUAUACGUGUGGUUAUCCAUGCACACUAAAUUUUGAGAAGUUCUUUAGUUCAGCUCUUUCCAUGUACAAGGGAGAAACAAAUCUCAGAGGUCAAGGGUCAUGCCUAAGGUUACCCAGCAGAUUGGCAGCAUCACUAGGACUGAAAUCAAGACCCUGUACCCUAACCUCACAUCAGGGUAAGUUUUUACUCCAUGUUUCUGAGAGCCCUAGAGUUUUCAAGAGGUGCUUCAGAGGUUCCACAAAUAUUUAAUUGCAAAGUGACCUGUUUAAAAGAAAACAGAAAUUUGGCAUUUGCAACUCCCUAUGAUGUGAAUCAGGAUUUUAAAAAAUCUUGGGGUUGCAAGUAUCAGCCAUCAUGUUCAUUUAAUGUUAUUGAGAUCACUGCAAAAGUCCUACCUUUAUUAUUGACUGAC